AGCAGGGUGUGUUUGCUCUAGAAAACAUGCUGAGAUGUGCCCUGACUGUGUUUAUUUUGUGGUCUCUGUCAAGUGUCAGGGAGGCUGUGGAGCCCAGAACUCUGCAGUACCAGAAAGAACCUCUCUCAAGAGAACACUGAGGGUUGUUAUUAUUUAACAGAUGGAUGGGGAGAGCUGUUCAUGGAAAAGACUAAGGAUGACCACAGAGGUUUCAAAAUAGAUCCUAAGUGAGGCUGUCAGAGUGGUCAAGGGGAGAUGGAAUGUGAAGGAGAAGCAAUCCCAAGAAGCAAAGGAACACAAGUUCACUGACCAAUAAUUGAUGAUGCCGUGUUGAAGUGUCUCCACCUGGCAGGAAGAGCACAUAAUUUAAGAACUCGAUGCUACCUUGUGGUCCAGGAGGACUUCUCAAUCCCCAGCUAUCACCUUGUAUUCCGACAGCAUGAAGAUGAAAAAAAAAAGCACAAAGGAUAUAAGAAAUUAUAGAAUGUUUGAACUAUGAUGCAAGAUCUAAUUCAAAGAGAACCUGAAGGUCUAUAAAAGCAAGAGGAAAUAGCAGCUGAGCGAUUCUCUACAGCACCGUUGGAGGGAUAGCCUUCAGACAGGAACAUUAGUGAUUGUCCAGCAGCAACAAGAAGCCAAAGUAUUUUGGUAUAGAAGCCAAUAUUUUGGGGAAUAGCCCCUGGUGAAGACUUCGUGAGUGUAUUUUAGGUCUUAUCAUUAAUGAAUUUCUCUUGAAACCAUUGGUGUUUUCUUUGUCUAUUAAGAUUAUUAAUUUCUCCAGGCCAAAAGCAGUCUUAAUAUUUUUCAACAGCCAUCCAGAAAAGGAACAAAUAGCUGUUUAUUAAAUUUUGACAAAUGAACAUUGAAUUACUAUCUGGAAAUAAUUAUCCUUAUAAUACUUCGGGCUAGAAGAUUGAUAAGACUAAACAGUUACAAGUUUUUAAAGCUCCCUUCUACCUGGUUUAAAUGUUUGGCUUUUAAAUUCUGUGCUGAAAUAUGGGGUACAUGGAAAAAUUAGUACACAUGUGAAAAAGCAAACUACAUUUAAUAGAACAUUACCUGCAUUCAAAGAAAAAGAACAUCCCUUAAUACCCCAAAAAACAAAGUUGAUCAUCAACCCACUGAGGUACUGGUAUUUCACCUUUUGUGAUAAUCGUUUCCUUUCUUAUGUUUCUGUUGUUUUACCAAUAUAUAUGUACCUUGCAGCAUUGAGUUUAAUUGUGUCUGCUUUGGAACUUUAUAUGAAUGGAGUCACACUCUACAUAUUCCCUUGUGUUUUCUUUAUUUUAUUUUAUGUGUGUGUGUGUGUGUGUGUGUGUGUGUGUGUGUUAAAAUGUUUAAUACCUGGAGAAUCUGGAUAAAGAUUACUAUUUGGGAAAUACUAAUAUUGCAAUACUUCUGAAAGUCUAGAGUUGAAAAUGAAAAGCAAGUAAAGUAAUUUCAAGGUAAAAUAAGUUGAAAUAAAAGUAUUUAAAAUAUGUCUCUUCUAUCCUAAUUGUUCAUUACUACCUCUGCCAUACAAUCUAAAAGUACACAUAUAAUCUAUUUCUGAAGCAUUACUGUAUAUAGUUUUGCAUUUAUCUAUGUAUUUAACUCUGUAAACUCCAC
ensembl:lncRNA